rnacentral:rRNA from 1 species
AUUGAACGCUGGCGGCAGGCCUAACACAUGCAAGUCGAGCGAGCGGCGGAUGGGUGAGUAAUGUCAGGGAAACUGCCCGAUGGAGGGGGAUAACUACUGGAAACGGUAGCUAAUACUGCAUACCAUUAGAUGUGUCCAGAUGGGAUUAGCUAGUAGGGGGGGUAACGGCACACCUAGGCGACGAUCCCUAGCUGGUACGAGAGGAUGACCAGCCACACUGGAACUGAGACACGGUCCAGACUCCUACGGGAGGCAGCAUUGGGGAAUAUUGCACAAUGGGCGCAAGCCUGAUGCAGCCAUGCCGCGUGUGUGAAGAAGGCCUUCGGAUUGUAAAGCACUUUCAGCGGGGAGGCGUUACCCGCAGAAGAAGCACCGGCUAACUCCGUGCCAGCAGCCGCGGUAAUUC